rnacentral:rRNA from 1 species
AUUGAACGCUGGCGGCAUGCCUUACACAUGCAAGUCGAACGGCAGCACGGGAGCAAUCCUGGUGGCGAGUGGCGAACGGGUGAGUAAUACAUCGGAACGUGCCCAGUAGUGGGGGAUAACCCGGCGAAAGCCGGACUAAUACCGCGUACGACCUACGGGUGAAAGCAGGGGAUCUCAUGGCAACAUGCGACCUUGCGCUAUCGGAGCGGCCGAUGUCAGAUAGCUAGUUGGUGGGGUAAAAGCCUACCAAGGCGACGAUCUGUAGCUGGUCUGAGAGGACGACCAGCCACACUGGGACUGA